rnacentral:rRNA from 1 species
UAUGUACGGAAUGGAUAAGCGCUGAAAGCAUCUAAGCGCGAAGCCAACUUCAAGAUAAGAUUUCCCACCGCAAGGGUAAGACCCCAGAAAGACUAUCUGGUUGAUAGGUCGAAGGUGUAAGUUCAGCAAUGUAUUUAGCUUAUCGAUACUAAUAGGUCGAGGACUUGACCAAU